CAGCGGUCGUCUCUGGCUGGGUAGACUGAGACCUGAACGCUGAGGGACUUAGGACCAGCAGUGCCGUCCAGGCCUGGCUGCAGACGGAAACUACUUCAAGAUAAGCUCCACCAAAAAUAGAGAGGAAAUCAAGAAGAUUAAGACGCAGGAUCCAGCGCAACGCUCCAGCACAGGAGAGACCAAAAGAACGUUUGACAAUCCACUGACUUCCUAGAAAACAGAAGAGUGGGCUGGGCAUGGUGGCUCACGCCUGUAAUCCCAGCACUCUGGGAGGCUGAGGUGGGUGGAUUACCUGAGAUCAGGAAUUCGGGACCAGCCUGGAGAAACCCCGUCUCUAAAAAUACAAAAAUUAGCCGAACGUGAUGGCGCAC
rnacentral:lncRNA from 1 species